UAGGAAGAUGAACAUGGAGAAGAAAUGAGUUUGAUUGAACUUUGGGAAGCAACUCAUAAGAGAAAGAAUGGAACCUAUCUUGAAGGCACAGACACUUCAGACUUUUUGGAGGAUGCAAAGGCAAAGGUUGAUUCAUUAAAGCUUUGUAAUCCUUCUAUGUCUCGUGUUGACGUUGAGAAUGAAGCCUUUCAAACUGUCAUGAAUGGAGAUGAAGUACCUGAACGACCUCAGGGAUAUGGAUUUGGGGUGAAAAAAAGUGAUAUUCAUGGGGUGCGUGGUAUGCUUAGAAAAGAAGGAAAUGGAAAACUUAAAAGGAGACAUGUGGAACUAGAAAACGUUGUGGAAACAUCUUUAUUGAAGAAGAGAAAUGAGGAACUUGAAAAACAAAACAAAAAGAGAUAACUAACAAGUUUGAUGAGCAUACUAAGAUGAUGAAGACCGUUGCUACACAUUUUUCUCUAGUGUUGGAUGCGGUGCGUGAUGGAAAAGCUUCUGCUCAACUUAUAGAUGCUGCAAAGUCAGCUAUGCAUUUGAUUACUACAGAGGAUCAAGAUGAUGGUGAAGGAAAAGAAGCCAAGGAUCCAUUAUUGUAUUAGUACAACUUGUAAAGCUAAUAAUGAUUUGAAAAGGCUUUGUAAAAGAUAUAUUUCUUUUGUUCUGUUUUUUUGGUAAGGUUUUAAGAAGUUGAUAGUAGACAUUAUCUAAUUGACUUAUU